CAAUAACAGAGAAAGAAUGAAGGAGGGAGAGAGAAAAAAAAAGGGUGUCUUAACGAACGUUUAAUCGGAGGGGAUUCAACGCGACUCGUCCCUUCGCGAUUUCCAAAAGGCUAUCCACAAAUACGCUUUGAUCUCUCGAAGAGAUGUAUUCUAUGGUACGACGAUGAUUAAUAGAAGAAAAUGGAAAGUAAAAAGACAACGAACGAUAAUAAAGUAAUUGAACAUUAUGGUGAACAUACCUGGAAGAGGAUAGCAAGAUAUCUUCCUGUAGGGUCCCACUCCAUUGCAGUUAUUCUUCCACCGACAGUAACAUAACUGUCACCGUCAUCCAACGAAAAAUUAACUCUUGUUAAAUCUAUCAGAGAGGUAAAGAAAAGAUUAUGGCAGGGUCUUCGUUCGAUGCAAACAACAGAGUCAAAUUAGGACCGAAACACGCAACAGCCACACGACCAUUAGGCACUGUCCAUUUAUCUGCGUGCCAUAACGUUGCUACUCCUGUGUUCCAAACUCUAUGCAUAGUUAUUAAUACGUGAAAUAAAAUUUUAUGCGAUGUAAAAGAUAAGAAUACAAAACCAAUGAUACGGUAUACCUAAAUAUAUUUCUACACGAGGCUGAAAACAAAUGAGAACCGCAAGUCGACCAACGAGCGAAACAUAGGCCAUCACCUCCGACUCGUCUCAAUGUAACACCGCAUGACUAAGAAUAUUACUGGCUGCUCCUAAUUCUAUCGUCCAAACUAAGACACCUGCGUGACACGCUACUGCCAGUUCUUUGCCAGCAAGUGGUCUCCAAUUUAUACAACAAACAGAUUUUUGAGCGCUGUGCCUUAAAAUCGGUAUUAUCGGUGUUCCAUGAGAAAAUAUACGUAUACGAUCAUCCCAUGUAACUACUGCUAGGCGUGAGCAAUGUGGAUGCCAUGAGA